AUGAAUCCUUCACGGGCUAAAAGACCUACAAUCACUAAAGUCAUCAAGAUGCUUCAAGGAUUGGGAGGUAUGGAUUGCAAUGUUAGCAAUGAGGUAACGCCAACGGCAGCCCAGAUUAGGUCCGGCCCAAGAGAGUUGCUUGAUAUCCACCCCUUGGAGCUCAGCUUUAGCUUGGAUUCAGACAAGCAGAUCCGUUGCCUCGUAAAGCUAACUAAUAAAACAAAUGAAUGUAUUGCAUUUCAUUUUAAGGUUACGGGGGCAACAAACAAGUACUGCAUUGAACCGGCUGGCAGAUUCCUGUUGCCACGGGAGAUGACUUAUUUAGUUGUAACAAUGGAAACGAGAGGGGAGUUGCAGUGCAAUGAUCAAUUCCUUGUAGAAAGCAUCAUAGUGAGGGAGGAUAGAGUGACAUCUAAGCCUAUCCCUGGACAGACAUUCGACAAAAUGCCAAUCAGUGUGGUGCACAAGGUAAAGUUGGCGGUUAUUCAUGUGCCUGCAGUCAUGGUGAGGGAGGAUAGAGUGACAUCUAAGCCUAUCCCUGGACAGACUUUUGACAAAAUGCCAAUCAGUGUGGUGCACAAGGUAAAGUUGCCGGUUAUUCAUGUACCUGCAGUCCAAGGAACAUUGAAUCCGCAGCAGUCUGAAGGCUCUCAGGGAAAACUUCUAGGAAGACCAAACAUUUCUGACAAGGAUAAUGAAUACACGCUGGUUGAAUGUUUGGAAAAAGACCUUGGGUAUUGUGCGGGAAAGCCCAUUGCUGCAGUUCUCAUAUAUAAAUGUUUUGUUCAGUGGAGAACUUUUGAGUCACAGACGACCUCAUCCUUUGACCGUAUUAUUCACUUAAUUGGGAGUGCACUAGAGGGGUGUAGAAUAAGUUAUUCUACUCAUGCUUAG
rnacentral:rRNA from 1 species